UCCCCUGUGGCGCAAUUGGAUAGCGCGUCGGACUGUUAGACCCUUCAUCCCAAAGAAGGGCCAGACAUCCGGAGGUUGUAAGUUCAAGCCUUACCGGGGGAG